GAUGAACGCUGGCGGCGUGCCUAAUACAUGCCAGUCGAGCGAACAGACGAGGAGCUUGCUCCUCUGACGUUAGCGGCGGACGGGUGAGUAACACGUGGAUAACCUACCUAUAAGACUGGGAUAACUUCGGGAAACCGGAGCUAAUACCGGAUAACAAGUUGAACCGCAUGGUUCAACAGUGAAAGACGGACUUGCUGUCACUUAUAGAUGGAUCCGCGCCGCAUUAGCGAGUUGGUAAGGUAACGGCUUACCAAGGCAACGAUGCGUAGCCGACCUGAGAGGGUGAUCGCCCACACUGGAACGGAGACACGGUCCAGACUCCUACGGGAGGCAGCAGUAGGGAAUCUUCCGCAAUGGGCGAAAUCCUGACGGAGCAACGCCGCGUGAGGGAAGAAGGUCUUCGGAUCGUAAAACUCUGUUAUUAGGGAAGAACAAAUGUGUAAGUAACUAUGCACGUCUUGACGGUACCUAAUCAGAAAGCCACGGCUAACUACGUG
rnacentral:rRNA from 1 species